UUCAUAAAUUAAGUAAUAAUUUUUACAAAAAAAUAAAAUCGUUAACAUAUGUUAAAUUUUAAUAUUUAGAAUUAUAUAUCAUCUAUUAAGUUAUUUUUAAAAUGACAGCAAUAUAUUAUCAUAAAUUAUUAUAUACAAAAUAAUAUAAAAUUUUAUAUCAAUAAAUGAAAUGUUACCCAAAUGAAUGUUCUCAAGUGAUUUGCAACGAAUUGUUCUCGAGUGGUGAAGAUGGUUUCAGAACCAGAGGAAUGACCAGCAUUUGAAGGCUACGUAGAAGAUAUUAUGCUUUUGAGAAGAAGCUUCAACAACUCAGAUAUUGUUCAUGUACCUAGGACGGAAAACACAAAAGCGGAUCGUUUGGCACGCGGAUUCAGCCGUCUUUCGUCAUACACAUGGAUGCAGAGUUGCCACCUUGGUUUACAGAGUCUACAUGAGUUUGUGAAUGUUUGCUGUCAAAAAAAAAUGUUAUCCGCAACGGAUGUGCGGGUUAGAAUCUAGUUUGUCAUUAUUGAAUCUGACCUAAAGUUGAUUUUUUUAUGUUUUGUAGAGAGGAGACUCGAGAUUUGAGGGUCAUGAGAUUUUACGUUUCACCAGAGAACAACUGCUUCAUCUUAAAGAGGCAAUCCAAGUCUCUGAGGCAUCUGAUCUUUCCGGCGAAGAGCAGAGCUGGGGCCGUUCAGAAAGCAAGGUGGGGAGAUGAAGAAUCAAGCCAACGAAGCUUUUAAGGGUCACAAGUUCUCCCAUGCUAUUGAUAUGUAUACAAAAUCUAUAGAACUCAGUGGCAAUAACGUUGUGUACUGGUUUCACUUGAGUGGCUGGAGCUUGCAUAAUGAUAAUUGAGUUUUAACAACUUUUGUGAAAGACGGAAUACUCUCGUCUUUAGCAAAACGUGCAAAGAAAACAAUGGAAGCGGCGGUGGUCGUGAGCGAAGGAGACGACUGCGGUAAUAGAAAAGUUUGCAGGAACUAUCCCCACUUGAUGCUCUGUUCUCUACAACGGUGUUACCUGGCUUGAAGAGAUAGUGUUGAAGAGGAUGUCGGUUACUGAUUUGGUUUUAAAAUGCGUUGAACAAGACCAUGACUCUGGCAAACAUAUGCCGUGUAUGUAGCCUACUCUAACAAGAUCUUACAAUUCGAUGUAGGUAUCAAAUAUCAGGGGAAUGGACAUACAACGAAGCUUGUAAACUAUUUAAAGAGCUUGAUUUCUUAACCGAUAAAGUCCAUAGACUUGGCAAUCUUAGGAAGUGCUUUGGUGUAUGUGUAUUUUGGAUGAUAUAUAAAAUAAUGUGUUUUAUAAGUUUAACUAAGUAUAAAUUUUGGAUGAUAUAUAAAAUAAUGUGUUUUAUAAACUGAUAAAUACUAAUAUACACACAACAACACAUAAUAUAUUAACCUAUAACCUAAUACUACAUAAUACAAUAAAAUACUAAGUUAUGCUUUUCACAAAUAAAUACUGACCACAUAAUUAUAUUAUCCAAAAAUAUCAUACUUAACCAUAAUAAACUAAUAUUUCGCGCAAAGCUUAGAAGUCCACCUAGUAAAUAAGUAAACAACACACUUAUAAAAUUAAAAGACUAGCUAGAUUUUUAUUUGAAUUAGAAUCAAUUAAUAUCUAAACUAAUUGGUUUAGAGAACCGGAAAACCCGGUCGUUACAAAUAUUUUGUACCAAAUUUUAGCAAAAAA